UUUCGUCUCUGGCGCUGGGUUCAGGGUUGAUCAAGAAUGCUCUGACCCCGGGUGGAGGCUCACCAUUGCACCUCGAUGGGUUGAAACUCGCGACAGACCCUAAUCGGGUGCGCUCGGGCGUGUAGUUUUUUGUCAUUGGGGAGGCCUCGCGGUCCUCUUCUC
rnacentral:snRNA from 1 species